rnacentral:rRNA from 1 species
CGAGGGGCUCGCGCACCAUCAGCUUGUUGGCGGGGUAACGGCCCACCAAGGCCUACGGUUAGCUGGUCUGAGAGGAUGACCAGCCCCACUGGGACUGAGAUACUGCCCAGACUCCUACGGGAGGCAGCAGUGAGGAAUAUUGGUCAAUGGACGAAGGUCUGAACCAGCCAAGUAGCGUGAAGGAUGACUGCCCUAUGGGUUGUAAACUUCUUUUGUGCGGGAAUAACGUGCUCCACGUGUGGGGUAUUGCAUGUACCGUACGAAUAAGGAUCGGCUAACUCCGUGCCAGCAGCCGCGGUAAUACGGAGGAUCCGAGCGUUAUCCGGAUUUAUUGGGUUUAAAGGGAGCGUAGGCGGUGGAUCAAGUCAGCUGUGAAAUGUAGAUGCUCAACGUCUGCACUGCAGUUGAAACUGGUUCACUUGAGUGCGUAAGAGGUAGGCGGAAUUUAUGGUGUAGCGGUGAAAUGCUUAGAUAUCAUAAAGAACUCCGAUUGCGAAGGCAGCUUACUGGGCCGCAACUGACGCUGAAGCUCGAAGGUGCGGGUAUCGAACAGGAUUAGAUACCCUGGUAGUCCGCACGGUAAACGAUGGAUACUCGCUGUCGGCGAUAUACGGUCGGUGGCCAAGCGAAAGCGUUAAGUAUCCCACCUGGGGAGUACGCCGGCAACGGUGAAACUCAAAGGAAUUGACGGGGGCCCGCACAAGCGGAGGAACAUGUGGUUUAAUUCGAUGAUACGCGAGGAACCUUACCCGGGCUUAAAUUGCAGUGGACGUGGCGCAGAGACGUGCCAUUCUCUUCGGAGCUGCUGUGAAGGUGCUGCAUGGUUGUCGUCAGCUCGUGCCGUAAGGUGUCGGCUUAAGUGCCAUAACGAGCGCAACCCUUGUCGCUAGUUGCCAUCAGGUAAUGCUGGGGACUCUAGUGAGACUGCCAUCGUAAGAUGUGAGGAAGGUGGGGAUGACGUCAAAUCAGCACGGCCCUUAUGUCCGGGGCGACACACGUGUUACAAUGGGGGGUACAGAAGGAAGCUACCUGGCGACAGGGCGCAGAUCCGUUAAAUCCCUUCUCAGUUCGGAUCGGAGUCUGGAACUCGACUCCGUGAAGCUGGAUUCGCUAGUAAUCGCGCAUCAGCCAUGGCGCGGUGAAUACGUUCCCGGGC